CCUACGGAGGGCUGCAGUGGGGAAUAUUGGACAAUAGGGGGAACCCUGAUCCAGCCAUGCCGCGUGUGUGAAGAAGGCCCUCGGGUUGUAAAGCACUUUCAGUGAGGAAGAACGCCUGGUGGUUAAUACCCAUCAGGAAAGACAUCACUCACAGAAGAAGCACCGGCUAACUCCGUGCCAGCAGCCGCGGUAAUACGGAGGGUGCGAGCGUUAAUCGGAAUUACUGGGCGUAAAGCGCGCGUAGGUGGCUUGAUAAGCCGGUUGUGAAAGCCCCGGGCUCAACCUGGGAACGGCAUCCGGAACUGUCAAGCUAGAGUGCAGGAGAGGAAGGUAGAAUUCCCGGUGUAGCGGUGAAAUGCGUAGAGAUCGGGAGGAAUACCAGUGGCGAAGGCGGCCUUCUGGACUGACACUGACACUGAGGUGCGAAAGCGUGGGUAGCAAACAGGAUUAGAUACCCUGGUAGUC
rnacentral:rRNA from 1 species